GCACUGCUAAUGAGUCCCACAAUAGGACGAAACGACCGUCCAGUGC
rfam:Schistosoma haematobium scaffold134_32, whole genome shotgun sequence.